rnacentral:rRNA from 1 species
CCUACGGGAGGCAGCAGUGAGGAAUAUUGGACAAUGGGCGCAAGCCUGAUCCAGCCAUGCCGCGUGCAGGAAGAAGCAUCUAUGGUGUGUAAACUGCUUUUGUACAGGAAGAAACACUCCCUCGUGAGGGAGCUUGACGGUACUGUAAGAAUAAGGACCGGCUAACUCCGUGCCAGCAGCCGCGGCAAUACGGAGGGUCCGAGCGUUAUCCGGAAUCAUUGGGUUUAAAAGGGUCCGUAGGCGGUUUAAUAAGUCAGUGGUGAAAUCUGGUCGCUCAACGAUCAAACGGCCAUUGAUACUGUUAGACUUGAAUUAUAAGGAAGUAACUAGAAUAUGUAGUGUAGCGGUGAAAUGCUUAGAUAUUACAUGGAAUACCAAUUGCGAAGGCAGGUUACUACUUAUGGAUUGACGCUGAUGGACGAAAGCGUGGGGAGCGAACAGGAUUAGAUACCCUGGUAGUCCACGCCGUAAACGAUGGAUACUAGCUGUUCGGAGCAAUNUGNGUGCGUAGACGAAGUAGAGUAAGUAAUACCGACCGUCGGGAGGUAACGGUUCGUCGAAGAAGUAGAAACGUUAACGAAAGGAAGUUAGACGGCGUUGAGACGNGCGACGGACGACGACGAGGGAGGAGGAG